rnacentral:rRNA from 1 species
UAGUUUGAUCCUGACUCAGAACGAACGCUGGCGGCGUGCCUAACACAUGCAAGUCCAACGUGAAAGGGGAGCAAUCCCCCGGUAGGGUGGCAAACGGGUGAGUAAUACAUGGGUGAUCUACCUUAGGGAUGGGGAUAUCCUUCCGAAAGGAGGGGCAAUACCGAAUAUUGUCCGGAGCCGUGAAGGGUUCCGGGGAAAGGGAGGCCUCUGAUACAAGCUUUCGCCUUAAGAUGAGCCCAUGGCCCAUCAGCUAGUUGGUAGGGUAAAGGCCUACCAAGGCUACGACGGGUCGCUGGUCUGAGAGGACGACCAGCCACACUGGCACUGAGAUACGGGCCAGACUCCUACGGGAGGCAGCAGUGAGGAAUAUUGCGCAAUGGGGGAAACCCUGACGCAGCAACGCCGCGUGUGGGAAGAAGGCCUUCGGGUCGUAAACCACUUUUGCACGGGACGAAAAAGGGAUAUCGAACAAAUAUCCCCGAUGACGGUACCGUGAGAAUAAGCCACGGCUAACUCUGUGCCAGCAGCCGCGGUAAGACAGAGGUGGCAAGCGUUGUUCGGAAUUACUGGGCGUAAAGAGUCUGUAGGUGGUUUGUCAAGUCUUUGGUGAAAGGCCGUAGCUUAACUAUGGGAAUGCCAAAGAGACUGGCAGGCUGGAGGCUGGGAGAGGGAAGCGGAAUUUCUGGUGUAGCGGUGAAAUGCGUAGAUAUCAGAAGGAAGGCCGGUGGCGAAGGCGGCUUCCUGGAACA